CUUGGAGCGGCAGGGCUUAACCCGGUGCGGCUCAGAGGUGGUUUCUGAAGGACUCGAAGAGGCAGCUGCAACAAGGCAUCACUUACUGCACAAGUGUAUCCAUUUCUGAGAGCGAAAGCAAGAACUUAAGCGGGUGGUACUUGGAGCGUAAAUUGCUUUGUAGUAUUUAAAAGCAGCAUGGAUCGUGGGCAACCGAGCUGAAAUAUGUCAUGAGAAUAAAUGAGAUAAUUUAGAAGAAGUACUUUGAGAUCCUGGAAAGAAAAUGCAUUGAGCUUAUCCAAGUUGUUGUAGUCCUUAGUAUACUCAUUUAUUAAAUACUACAUUGAAGUUGACCUGAAGGUAAGGUUUGGAACUUUACUAUUACUGUAUUCGAACAUAAGGCUUCUACAAAAUUGUUUGCAAUUUGCUUCCAGGCUAACAAUACAUGUUAGAAUUUCUCAUUUUAUUGAAUAUGAAGUUGUGGAAUUGCUUCCCUUCCUAAGUGCAUUUGCAAUGUAAACAAUUUGUUUUACAAAUCAAGGGCAUUUUUCAUAGCUGACAUGUUGUAAUUUCCAAUAGAAAUAUAAGCUAAAUUGAUGAGUUCAUUAGGAGGCGUAGAGUAAGGUGAUGCUCAUUUAUUUUCAAGGGAUGAAUAUAACAGGAAUACUAAGUUUGUUUUUAUUUUUAUUGUUUUCCUUCUGAACAAAAGAAUGAAGAAAUCCCAAAUUGUCAAAAAGGGAAAACAAUGGGCGAACAGAAGCUUGUGAAUAAAAGAUUUUGAAUGGAGAAAAAAAGGAUAACUUACUACAAAAAGACUAAUAAUUUAAAUGCAGUCUUCCCUUCUUUGUGCAUGAACAGAAGGCAAAGCUUUUUUGUUAUGAGUAUUCUUCUGUUUUUGUCUUAUCAGAUUACCUCUCCUAUUUUCCAAUUGUACAAGUAUAUAGAGAGACACUAGUCUAGGUUACCCAAUUCCAGACCAUAAGUGGAUAGUCUAAAAAAAAGCUGAGUCUGAGACAUUACUUUAGUCUGAUGAAAGACCAUUUUUCCCAUAUUAAUUAUCUUCUAUUUUUUAAAUUAUUUGUAAAUGAGAGAGGAGGGCUUUUUCAAGAACAGGAAUGUCCUUCUUUAUUCCUGAACCAGAGCUUUCCAGAGGCAGACAUCCUCUGUAUGGACAAGUUAGGGACCUUAUUUUAUAUUUGACAAUUCUAGAUUGAUAAAAAAAAUAGAAUGUUUUCCACCAUUCCUAAUUUUUUUUUUAACCUGGGAAGAAAUAGAUUGAGUUCCAGCAAGUGCAACAUUAUGUUCUUUAUUUGAAUACAAAAAGAAUUGUAAUCCACUAAAAUAAUGUGUUAGAUCAAAUGUAUAAAAUAGAAUAAAGCCAUAAUAAAGUUCUGCUGUCCUUCUAAAGGCAUAUGUCACUGAAUUCAAAUAAUAUUCCUUCAAAUAUUAGAAAAUGCUAUGCAUUAUCUUUAUGAGUAGUUAUAAAGAGAAUACCAUUUUGACGUCUUUAUUUUUAACAGCACUGUCAAUAUAAUGUAUUCAUAUUAUUAGAGUUGGAAAUGCUAAUUCAAAUCUAUAUUACCUUACGAGAAAAUGUAAGAAGGAUGCCAAAAUCUGUUUUAAGAAAAUGAAACUUAGACUUGAGACAUUUGUAGUAUAUGUUUCCAAAGCAUUGGCCCAAAAUAUAGACAGAACAUAUAUAUUUUUUAAAGAGAUGAGUAUGUUUAAAUUGUGUGAGUAAUUUAUUAUAAUAAGCAAAGAAAUUUGCUUCCCUUUAUGCUUAACACACUUUUUAGCAGGAAAUUGCUCACCUAGGAACCAUCAAUACUCUUAUACCACUUACACUGUCUUGCAGUAUAAGGCUUUUGUAUUUGGGGGUGUAUAUUUUACAUCUUCUAACUCACUGACUGAUGGAUGCUUAUCAUGACAUUUCCGGAACCUGAGCUGGGAGAGCCAAGAAGGGUAAGUUGAGGCUCCCCUCUUGUGUUCCUCCUCAGUGUUAUGACUGUAUUCUGCAGAGAAGGAAUUUAAAGGUAAUCUUUCUUCAAAUUUCCUCUUAGUAUGAAUUGUUACAGGUUGGGGACAGAGGGUUACCCUAUUUGCUGAUCUUUGGCCAAAAUAUACAAUUUUUAAGAUUUAUUGUUGAAAAUUCUAAUUUCGUAUAUUAUUUCUGCUUCUGUAUACUGGAUAUAUAGAUAUUGAAACAGAAAAAUACCAACAGGUAUGUAUGUGAGUAAAUUAUUUUAUACAUUGAAUAUUUAUAAUUAUAUAGCAAUAUUUUCAACUAUAAUUGAACUUUGAUCCAAACAGUAAAAUUUUUUAAGUAAAACAAAUAUAUUUCACAAAAUAUAUUAUUUGAUAUAUACACUAAUGCAGCCAUUUAUAUACUAAUGUAGCAUUUUACCUAAAAGAAAAAUAAAAAACCUAGUGUGUGACCUUGAAAUUUUUUCCUGUAUAGAUCAGUGCCUCUAGUGUGUAUAGGCAGUGGAACUAGCUAAGCCAUCUCUCCCUCAACAUGAUAUCCAGUGUUCUUGUAGAUUGAAAGAAAAGUGAAAGAAGGGGUAAAACGCAUAAUAUUCCCCCUUCAGUAUAACAAAAUAUUUACUUUGGUAUUUAUUGCUCUAAAUUAAUUUGAGCAGAAAAUAAUGAAUGAUGAAUUACUUAAGGAGAGUAAAAUGCAACUGUAAAGAAUGAUACCCCUGAAGAUGAUGAUGUAUUAGGCAGACCAGCAUGGACAUCUAAAUAUGAAUUUGUAAAGAAAUUGUCAGGAAUAAAGAAUAUUAAGGAGCAGACAAUAUAAGAAGGAAAUAUGCUAAGAGAUGAUAGUGAGAAUACUGGCUUAAAUGUAAUUAUAUGUUCAUAUUAGGGAAUUACUGUUCAUUCUAUCUUGGAUAGAACAGGUUCAAUCAGGUGAUGGAGAGUAUUGAAAACCAGAUGCAGCACAUUGUGCCUGAUUGCAGUGGUCAAUAGGACACUAUUGUAGAUUAUUAAGGAGAAAACAAAAGCAAUGGGUUUGAAAGAGUAAAUCAGUGAUAAGAAGAAUAAAAGCUUUUGGGAAAGAAGAUUCUGGAAAGACUACCAGAUUCCAUGCACUAAAAAGCUACUGCAUGAGUUGGUAAUAGGAGGAAAUAAUGGACAUAUUUCAUGUCUUGAUGGAUUUUGUCACUGCAAGAAACACUGCAUGCAGUGAAAGACAGAAAACUGAUACUUUUUUUUCACUUUUCUCUUAAUUUGGUUAAAGUGAAAGACUUUAAUGAGCUUAUGGUAUAAAUUAAAGGAGACUUUGAAGAGAACCUGGUACAAUUGUUAAAGGAAAUAGAAUGUUUCCAGGGAUCAUGGGCAUAGAUGAAUCUAGAAUACUGAUGAAAAUAAAGAGACUUCAGUAAAUAUGAGAAAAUAGACGUAGAAACAGUGCUCUCUAGGAGUAUAUUAAUUAGAAUUCCAUGGUUAUAAUAAAAACUGAUUUUUAAUGAUAACUCAGAGCAAUAGAGCAUCUUGAAUUGCUUUCUAAACAUUCAGUGAUUAAUUUGUGCUCAAAAUAGGUUUAGUACUCUUGUUAGCAGACACAAAGGAUCCAUUCUUGGGGUGCUGAAAAGCACUCAGCCUCAAGCGGGAGUGUCUCAGACAGAAGCUGUAUUUACCUCUGACAAGAAUAAGAGAUGGUGGGAAGCUAUAGUUCCUUGAAGAACCACCUCCUUGAGAAGCCGUUUUCUAGGGCUUUAACAGCAAAUAUUCAGGGAGAUUCCAGGAUGUAGCAGAGGGUCCCUCCUGCUUAAGGAAAAUACUUCAUCCUCCAUAUGUUUAAAACUCUGACUCAGAUUAAUUUCUCUCGGUGUUCCUUGAUUGACUAGUGGGCUGGCCCCCUUGACAUACAGUAUUUCAAGAUAAACUUUCCUGCAACAUCCUCUAAAAAACAAGUUCAGUUCAGUCAACUGUCUCAGAUUUUCUGCCUCUAUUCUUGUGCUCCCUCUUGCCUAAGUCCUACGCUCUGGAUUUUAAUAUCAAUGUAUCAUAAUCCUAUGAAAACAAGUAAAUCAUGUGUGUUUACACAAAAACUUUCUAGCAACCAGAAAAUAUAAAAUUAGAAAAUGUAUUUUUUUCUAAUGAGAAUGAUACUAAAGUAUUUCUUACCUUUGCCAAAUAACCAUUAGAAAUUAUGGAACUUUCAAUACAAAUCUGAAGUAUUUUUAAAUUUUUUAAUGAGAAAGCAAUCCCAAAUCUUUACAUACUUAGAGAAACAUCUUAUUCUUGUGUAAAUACAAACUUCAGAUUAAAAAAAUAUUACUUGAUGACUCUGAGAAGAAAAUUCAGAAUGGCAUUGCCUUAUAUUGUUUCCCUGUUGAAUUUUACCAAAAUUUAUACAAUAAAGAUUUUAUUACUAAGUGUAAAUAAUCAAAUCUCUUAGAACCAUAAGGAUCAGGCUAUCACACUGGUGUUAUUUCUUAUGUGAAAUUAUUUUGAGAUAUAAUCAGAUUUUAACAGAACAUGAAUGCUUUUCUAAAAUCUAGUUUUUUAUGGAUAAAAAUCAAAUGUUUGUAAAAUAUAAACAUGAUAUCUCUAAACAGUACAGAGACUUCUGUUUAAUCAGGCAAUCUUCAUUAACAUGUACAAAUAAGAUCCUGAUUAAUGAAUUGACAACAUUCUAAUUUUACAGAAAUUUUUCAUGGUGUGUUUUUGAUUUUUGUAUGAAAACAAUUAGAAAAAGAGGAGUUUUAGGAGAGGUGAUAAUGACCCUUUCAAGAUAAGAAUGAUGACCAUCUUUCACUUAGUGAGUGCUUACUAAAUGUCAGGCAUCAUGAUAAAAUCUAUAGUAUUUGAUUUUUCCAGCAUCUAUCUUUCUCAUCUAAUAUGAGAAAAAUAACUUUGAAAAUCUUUAAUAUCUUCCCUAAAAUCACACAGUUAAUAAUGUAUCAGCAUCAAUUUUCAAAUCCAGGGAGAAAUUCUUUCAAUAGCCAUGACCUUUGCCACUUUUUCAUACUGUCUUUUGAUAUGUGGUUCAAAAUGAGGAAAUUGGUCAAAAAGGUCGGUGUGAGUGAUCACUUGUUUGCAGCUUGGGAGAAAAACACAACAAUCAAGAGUAUAAAAACUGUAUAGAAUCAUGAAAUUUUAAACUUUUAAUUUUAGAGGGAGAGAGACAGAGACAGCAUUUUGUCCCGUAGUUCAUUCCCCCAAAAUCCACAGUGGCUGGAAGCUAGGAACCCAAGCCAGGUCUUCCACACACGCAUGGCAGAAUUCCAAUUAAUGAAGCCGUUGCCAUUGCAUCCCCUGCAGUCGGGAGCUGCAAAUGGGUAUUGAACAUAGACACUUCCUUAUGGGAUGUGGGAAUUUUAGGUGCUAAGACAAACACCCACCCCAAAUAAUGGAAAUUUAAAGAUAGCAAUACAAUUUUCAGAUCAUAGAGUCCAGGUUCUCAACUGAGAAAACUAAGACUCAAAAUAGGAAAUUAGCGAGUGACAUUACAGAUAGAUCAAAUCAAAUAGGCAUUUAGUUAAUCAGUUUUAUAAUAUUUACAGUAAAACCCUAAUGUGUGUGUAUAUAUAUAUAUAUUACAUAUAGUGUGUACAUGCACACACGUGUAGACAAUCUCUCUUAACAUUGGAGAUAUGAUGGGGAGAGGAGAUUAUGAUGAGAAGGCAAGUCACUAAAUUGUUCUCUACAACAUUUCAAAGGGCAAAAAAAGCCUGUUUGUCAUAAUCUGUCAAGAGUUAAUAUUAAAUGCAGAAGAACAACCUAGUGAACUCCUUCAAUAUAUGAGGCCCGUAUUACAUAUUUCUACAUUUAUUAUCUCAUUUAACACUCACAAGUGGUGUUUGGAACUGUUAAAGUGCGCAGUUAAUAUAUGAGUAUCAAUAUUAAUACUUGUUGGCAAGUAUACUCAUUUUAGAAUUAUCUACCAGUCCUACAUUCACAGAUAAAAAUGUAAUAAUUAUAUAAUGAUAUCUAUCAGUGUGGUGUGAAUACUAAUCAUUUUCUCCUCUGGCUUAUUUAAGAUAUAAGGGAAAAAUUGUAUGCAUUUAAAAUGAUAUCUGUUAUACUUGUGUACCUUGUGAAACAUAUACCAUGAUCAAACUAAUCAACAUAUUCAUCACCUCAUUGUCAUAGUUACAUGUUUUGUAUGUGUUAAGAAUACUUUCAUAUUUCCAAAAAAUUCAGUAAUACGACAAGAAAUUAUUGCCUGUAGGCAUCAUGCUCUUCAUUAGAUCCUCCGAGCUUAUAUAUAACUAAACUUGUGUGCACUUUGAACAGUAUCUCUUCAUUUCUCCCAUCCCACAGUCCCUGGCUAACACUAUUCUCACUGUUCUGAAGAGUUUGACUUCUUUAGAUUCCACAUAUCAGUUAGAUCAUGGAGUUUUUGUCUUUCUUAUCUGGCUUACUUUAUCUAGCAUAAUGUCGUCAGGGUUCUGCCAGCAGGAUUCCCUUCUCUUUUAUGGCUGAGUCUAACAUUCCAUAUUGUGUGUAUGAGUGUGUAAUGUAUCCAUCCUUGUGUCAUCAACAGGGACUUCGGUUAUUUCUCUGCCUUUGCUUUUGUGAAUAAUGCUGCGAUGGACAUGGGAUAUGUCUUCAACAUGCUGAUUUCAUUCCCUUUGGAGAUAUACCCAGAAGUAGAGAUGUUGGAUCAUAUGGUAGAUAGUUUUCUAAUUUUCCGAGAAACCUCAAUAUUGUUUUGUUUAAUGACUGUGCCAAUUUACAUUCCCACCAACAGUGCACAACAGCUCCUUUUAAACUAUUCCUAACACUUGUUAUUCUUUCUCUUGUAAUAAAAGUCAUCCUGGCAGAUGUGAGAUGGUUUGAUUUAGACUUCCCUAAUGUUAGUGAUAUUGAAUACUUUUUUCACAUGCUUCUUGGUCAUUUAUAUCAUCUUCUUAAAAGUGUCUAUUCAGGCCCUUUGCUUAUUUUUUUAGUUAUAUUAUUUGGUGUUUUACUACUGAGUUAUUUGAAUUCCUUAUACAUGUUGUAUAUUUAACCUACCUUUGGCACUUUAGGCUGGCACAAAAAAAAAAAUACUUCCGAGUGGGAAGUUUGUAAACAACAAUUUAUUGCUUCCAGUUCUGGAGGUUGGAAUGAAUAUAAUAAGGCACUGGCAGAUUCAGUGUCAUGGAUGGUGCUUCCUACUUUGGCCUCACAUGUUGGAGACAAAGGGUUUUCAAGUUCCUUCCAGCCACUUUUAUAAGGACUCUAAUGCCAUUUAUCCCUCAUGGCCUACUCCACUCUGACAAUCCCCAUGUCUUCACACCAAGGCAUUGAGGAAUAAUUUUCAACAUAUAAUUUGGAAGGAGGUAGGGUACACACAUUGAGAUCAUGGUCAAUACCUUAUCAGAUGUGUGGAUUUUAAUUAUCUUAUUCUAUUCCAGAGGUUAUAUCUUCACACUGUUGACUGUUUCCUUGAGAAUGCAGAAGCAUUUUAGGUAGAAUUCCAGACGACCAAUGCUUUAAAAACAAAGUUGCCUCUAGUUGGAUAUGCCUUGGUACAUCCCAGCACUUUACUAUGGAAUAUGAUUAUGUUUCUAUACAGUGCAAGCUUUUCUAUCCUAGAGUAUCUGAUUGCAAGUGCUUUAAAUGGUAUUCAAAUAUUAUUUUGUUUACAUAUGGUUUUUCUGAUAUCCAAAAAUGAAAUGAUUUAAAUAAGCGCACACACACACCAAUAUAUAGCAUCUAUGAUCCAGAUCCAGUUUCUGGACCUCUGUUUCUGCACUAUAAUCUACUAAAGAUAUUGUUGAAGGUGUAGAUUCCCGGCUGUACUCCAGACAAACUGAAUCAGAAUCUAAGGCUUGAGCCAGAUAUGCAUUUUUAACAAAUUCUUGGUGAUUUCUGGGGCUUGUGCUGUGGUUCAGUAGGUUAAUCCUCUGCCUGCGGCGCCGGCAUCCCAAAUGGGCACCGGUUCUAGUCCUGGCUGCUCCACUUCUGAUCCAGCUCUCUGCUAUGGCCUGGGAAGGCAGUGGAAGAUGGCCCAAGUCCUUGGGCCCCUGCACCUGUGAGGGAGACCCGGAGGAAGCUCCUGGCUCCUGGCUUCAGAUUAGAGCAGCACCAGCUGUUCUGGCCAUUUGGGGAAUGAACCAACAGAAGGAAGACCUUUCUCUCUGUCUCUCCCUCUCACUGUCUGUAACUCUGCCUCUCAAAUAAAUAAAUAAAAUCUUAAAAAAAACAAAACAAAACAAAAUUCUUGGUGAUUUCAAUACAUGUUAAUGCUGAGAAGCCUUACUCUGUAUUCUCAGUCAAAAGCUGUUCCUUAUUGCCACCAAAGGGUUAAUUUAGCAACUAUGAAAGCAUUUUUCCUGUUUAUUUUUUGCAUUAUAUUGUGGGAGAUUCAUAACUCAUAUGUAUCAGGAAGAACCUUGUCUUGAGAGGAAAAAAAUAUCAAUGUUGGAAGCAGUUAUUUUCUUUUCCUGAAGAAUAAAUAUAUGUAUACAUGUAUAUGUAUGUACACUUACUUGUAUAUGAAAUAGGAAGGAAAAAUUAACUACUGUUGUCACCCUCAUAUAAAUAACGUUUUUAAGAAGUUAAGUUGGGUAUAUGAUUCCAAGAAGAGAUAUCACAUUUGUGUGCAUUUUGUCCUUAUUUUUGAUUCUCCUAUCUACACAACCCUUUACAGUGAAUAAUGGAUGCCCUGUACUCCUUUGUAAUACAGUCACUGAAUUGCACUCAUGGAAAUCUUCUUUAAAGGUCAUCUUGUCCUUCGCUUGACCUCCAAACCUCAUGUAUUUGAAAUUCUAUUUUUAAAAGAUUUCCACAAUUGCAAUGUUCUGAAGUCCCCUGAGAACCCAUUUAGUGUUGAACAGUCUUUUCCAUUAUCAAAAGCGUCUUUCUUCCUUCCCCUGUUUUUCUAUUAAAAUUCAUCAUUCUCUGUUAUGUUUUCAAUGAAAAUGGAAAAUCCGUGGUCAUCAUCAUCUGUGACAUAACCCUUCAUUGAAGACUGUUAAUAAAGACCCUUUAACCAGUUCUUCUCUAGCCAAGUAACAUAAGUCCUUUAAACAUUCAUUAGAAUUUCCAUUUUCUAAUCCUUCAGUUAUUUCUUUUCUUCAAUCUUGAGCUCACUUCAACCUCAAGUUCUGGGAUGUGAAACUAGACAGUAGGAGCUCGCCUUGGCUGAAUAUAAUAGUAGGAUUACCUUGCUGUUCUUAUUUACUCUACUCCUAUAUAUGCAUCCUGUAGAACUCUGAGAGGUACAGAUAAGAUGUAAAUGGUGUCCUGAUGCUCAUGGUCUUGAAUAAUUUCAUAGCAUUUUUUCAUAAAGAUAUGGAUGCUAUUCCCAGGAACCUGGCUAGUUUGUAUCACAGGUAAUUACUUUCGGCCUAUCUAUAGCAUUCUAGGUUUCAAUUAGAUGAAAUAUUCUUCAUUUUCACCGAGAAAGCCAUUAUUGCAAAAAGUUGUUUCAGCGGAACAAAACAGCACUGCAUUUUAACAGAGAAAGGACCACUUUAUAUUCAUCCUGUAAAAAGGCUAACAUUCCUCACAGGUAUGAAACACAGUAAUACAGACUCUUUCUCCCCAAGUUAAUGUACAUGAUUCAACAUGCUAUUUUUUUCUUUUAUAUCCUGAUCUGGUUUAGUUAUCCUAAAUGCUAUGAAGAAAAUCUACCUUGAUAAUGUAUUUUCAUUCACUAGUUACAGUGACUUUUUAAGAUAGAACUUGACAGGUGGCAUUUACCAGAUAAAAUGCUGGGCCAUAUUUGAGGGCCUGGGAUUGAUUCCUGGUUUCAGCCCCUAGUUAUUUGUUAAUGCAGGCAGGAGGUGGCAGUGUUGAUGUUUUAAGUAAUUGAGUCUUUGCCACCAUGUAGAAGUCCUGGAAUCAGAUUCAUCCAUCCAGGGGCCAAUGUGGGUAUUUGGUGAGUGAAUGAUGGAAGUUCUUUAUCUCUGCCUGUGUUUGUCUUUCUGUCCUCAAUAAUUUUUAAAAAGAUAUUUUGAAAAAUUAAAAGUUAGGUAAAAUAUGAAAUUGUCAAAAUUGCAAGUGAUAUGUAUGUAUACUUGUUUUAUUGAUAUUAUUGAACAUACAGAGGAUUUACUUCAUUUUUUAAGAUUUUAUUUAUUUAUUUAUUUGCAAGGUAGAGUUACAGACAAAGGGAAAUACAUGGAGAAGGGUCUUCCAUCUGCUGGUUCACUCCCUAGAUGGCCACAACAGCUGGAGCUGAGCCAAUCCAAAGCCAGGAACCAAGAGCUACUUCUGGGUCUCCCACAUGGGUGCAAGGGCCUAAGCACUUCGGCCAUCUUCUACUACUUUCCUAGUCCAUAGUAGAGAGCUGGGUCAGAAGAGGAGUAGCCAGGACACGAACCGACACCCAUGUGGGAUGCCGGCACCACAGGCAGAGGCUUAACACACUAUGCCACAGCUCCAGCACCAAGAAUUUACUUUUUUUUUGCUUGUCUUUUAUUGUCUUCUUCCAUGUUAGAAAAGACCAAAGAAUAUGAAUAUAUGUAUGUAUAUACAUAUAUAUAUGAACACAUGUAUAUGCACACAUUAUUCCAUAAAAACCAGUUGAUCAUUUAUAUGUCAGUGCCUACAAUUUAUUAGUCAUCAAAAAUUCGAAAACAUGUUAGAGCAUUCUGGCUUUUGAUGUAUUCUCUAUUUGAAUAGAUUUGCUUUUUUU